rnacentral:rRNA from 1 species
GAGGGUGAACGGCCACAUUGGGACUGAGACACGGCCCAGACUCCUACGGGAGGCAGCAGUGGGGAAUAUUGCACAAUGGGGGAAACCCUGAUGCAGCGACGCCGCGUGAAGGAAGAAGUAUUUCGGUAUGUAAAGCUCUAUCAGCAGGGAAGAUAAUGACGUACCUGACUAAGAAGCUCCGGCUAAAUACGUGCCAGCAGCCGCG